GGCUCUUCAAGCCAAGCAGGAACAAGCCAAGGGACAACAGAUCAUCGUGAACAAUAAAGCAGCCAUGCAGGCGUAGCUCAGCCAUGCAUAAAGAGAGCCAGUCGUGCAUGCUACAGAGAUUUGUCUGGUUAAUUCCAUUAACGAACGAGACCUCAGCCUGCUAACUAGCUAUGCGGAGGUGACCCUCCGCUGCUAGCUUCUUAGAGGGACUAUGGCUUUCCAGGCCAAGGAAGUUUGAGGCAAUAACAGGUUUGUGAUGCCCUUAGAUGUUCUGGGCUGCACGCGCGCUACACUGAUGUAUUCAACGAGUCUAUAGCCUUGGCCGACAAGCCCGGGUAAUCUUUGAAAUUUCAUCGUGAUGGGGAUAGAUCAUUGCAAUUGUUGGUCUUCAACGAGGAAUUCCUAGUAAGCGCGAGUCAUCAGCUCGCGUUGACUACGUCCCUGCC
rfam:Populus trichocarpa scaffold_14_contig_186, whole genome shotgun sequence.